rnacentral:rRNA from 1 species
UACAGAGGGGGCAAGCGUUGUUCGGAAUUACUGGGCGUAAAGGGCGCGUAGGCGGCCUGCUAAGUCGAACGUGAAAUCCCCGGGCUCAACCCGGGAACUGCGUCCGAUACUGGCAGGCUUGAAUCCGGGAGAGGGAUGUGGAAUUCCUGGUGUAGCGGUGAAAUGCGUAGAUAUCAGGAGGAACACCGGUGGUGUAGACGGCUAUCUGGACCGUAACUGACGCUGAGACACGAAAGCGUGGGUAGCAAACAGG